UGCUGCCCAUCAUUGGGAAAAAUCUUUUGAUUUAGUGCCACAUUGAUGAAAAGAUAUUUAAAAAAUGUAGAGAAUGAUACUAUAACCCUAAAAGUUCCAGUCUUGAGGGAAUUGUAAUAUUCUUCAAAAAUAAAGGGGGACUUCAUGUACCAUCAUAUGGAAUUAUAACGAUAUGUCAAUCAUGAAUUUGCUGAUUUCAACUAAAAGUAGAGUUCCAAGAGAUGAAAAUUUUCUCGAAGCAUUUGCAACAAUUCAGUCCCAAAAAUUUUAUGAUCGAGUUAAUGAUUUGUUCCCUUCCUUGAAAGAACAUUUUUUAUAUUCUUCAGUGAUUGACAGACAUCAUGGCUUUCUUUUAGUGAAAAAUAUUGCCAGAUCUCAUUUUAAAAUCAGAAUAUUCAAUCUGUGUAAAAAGUUUAUACUGAAAAAUUCAAGGUUCUGCAAUUAGAAAACUUCAUCAUUUGAUUAUAUGCAGCAAUUGAUACUGGAUAUACAAUAUUGUAUAAAUAAAAUGAAUAGAAAAAUG